UUGAUUGGUUCACAGGUUCAGGAGGGCGCCUCAUGCUCCUCCUGAUGCCCAUGUAAGUAGAAUCCCUGUUUUUAUUUUUCCCGGCAUUUUUACCCGAAAUUUUCAAGAUGGCGCUGCUCAGAUCCGAUACUAUUGGCCUCCGAGCAGCAGUCCACAAACCAAUGGGUGACGUCACGGAUGUUACGUCCAUUUCUUAUAUACAGUCUAUGGUUGCUUCUCGAUUGGGACAGAUCAGCUCAGUGUUAAGUCUUAUUUGUCUUGAUCAGCUGGUUUUGAAAGACGUCACGAUCAGAUCAUGAAGUGUUCAAAUGCUUUUACUGUGUGUGUAUAAAUGUAAGGAAGAGAAAGGGGGAAAGGUGUUGGUGGGUGUGUUGAGUUUGCCACCAUUCAUAAAAAACGGCCUAAGAUCAACAUGUAGUGUCUUCUAAGUGUUUGUUUCGCCCUCCAGAGGCUUUAAUAUUCUGUAACAGUUUAGCAUAGAAACAUCUUAGACGGCCGUCCGUAAUAUUUUUGUAUCUCGACAAGAAUACUUUGAGGAGUAUUGAUGUACUGUACCUGCUGUGGAGGAGGGACGGUUUAAAAAAGAAAAAACAAGAAAAAAAGAAAAUAAUAGAAGAGAUUUCUCAUGUUUUAUUGUUGCCAAAGAGAUGUUGUGUUGUGUUCCAGGGGUAAGUACAGUCGGUGUUGGGUUUUUUUUACCCCAAAAAUGGAGACUGAGACAGAGAAGGAGGAACAUGACAGCAGCUUUGGCCAGCGAGAAGGAGAAUAAUGAUGAUCGAAAACAUGAUGGCGCUCCGAGGAAAAGGCCCUGCUUCCUGUGUAGAUAUAAAGGCUCAUUUUAAGGUGAGGCGUGGGAGGGAAG